GAUGAACGCUGGCGGCGUGCCUAAUACAUGCAAGUCGAGCGAACGGACGAGAAGCUUGCUUCUCUGAUGUUAGCGGCGGACGGGUGAGUAACACGUGGAUAACCUACCUAUAAGACUGGGAUAACUUCGGGAAACCGGAGCUAAUACCGGAUAAUAUUUUGAACCGCAUGGUUCAAAAGUGAAAGACGGUCUUGCUGUCACUUAUAGAUGGAUCCGCGCUGCAUUAGCUAGUUGGUAAGGUAACGGCUUACCAAGGCAACGAUGCAUAGCCGACCUGAGAGGGUGAUCGGCCACGCUGGAACUGACACGGUCCAGACUCCUACGGGAGGCAGCAGUAGGGAAUCUUCCGCAAUGGGCGAAAGCCUGACGGAGCAACGCCGCGUGAGUGAUGAAGGUCUUCGGAUCGUAAAACUCUGUUAUUAGGGAAGAACAUAUGUGUAAGUAACUGUGCACAUCUUGACGGUACCUAAUCAGAAAGCCACGGCUAACUACGUG
rnacentral:rRNA from 1 species